CUUUCAGCUUUUUGGAAUCUUAAGAACUUUAGAAGUCUAGUCCACAGGCUCCAUACUGAUGGAGGUACCAGCAAGAGGGCUUCCUUUUCCACUUCAAGAGAAAGAACAAUAAGUUUCAAAAUUUGAAGAACACAUUGACCUAGCACUGAAGAAAGCAAACUCUAAGAACCUCUUCACCAAAAGUCAUUUUAUUGUUGGAAAAACACCUGAUUUCAGAAGUUUGCAAUUUACGUACAUAGAAAAUUUAUCAAAGAUAACAAUGAUUCUGUUUUCCUUACAAUAAAUGAAUUCUAGAACAU
rnacentral:lncRNA from 1 species